GGCUCGGUAGCUUAGUUGGUAAAGCGCUCGUCUAGCAUACAAGAGUCCUGGGUUUAAAUCCCAGCCGAGCAU
rnacentral:tRNA from 1 species